rnacentral:rRNA from 1 species
AGAGUUUGAUCCUGGCUCAGGAUGAACGCUGGCGGCAUGCCUAAUACAUGCAAGUCGAACGAAGACUGUUGAAAGCUUGCUUUUGACAGACUUAGUGGCGAACGGGUGAGUAACACGUAGGGAACCUGCCCAUGUACCCGGGAUAACAGAUGGAAACGUCUGCUAAAACCGGAUAGGUAUAGACAAGGCAUCUUGGCUAUAUUAAAGGACCUUCGGGUGCGGACAUGGAUGGACCUGCGGCGUAUUAGCCAGUUGGCGGGGUAACGGCCCACCAAAGCGAUGAUACGUAGCCGGCCUGAGAGGGUAGACGGCCACAUUGGGACUGAGACACGGCCCAAACUCCUACGGGAGGCAGCAGUAGGGAAUUUUCGUCAAUGGGGGAAACCCUGAACGAGCAAUGCCGCGUGAGUGAAGAAGGCCUUCGGGUCGUAAAGCUCUGUUGUAAGAGAAAAACGGUAAUGAUAGGAAAUGAUCAUUAAGUGAUGGUAUCUUACGAGGAAGCCACGGCUAACUACGUGCCAGCAGCCGCGGUAAUACGUAGGUGGCAAGCGUUAUCCGGAAUGAUUGGGCGUAAAGGGUGCG